rnacentral:rRNA from 1 species
AUUGAACGCUGGCGGCAGGCCUAACACAUGCAAGUCGAACGAGUGGCGGACGGGUGAGUAAUGUCUGGGAAACUGCCUGAUGGAGGGGGAUAACUACUGGAAACGGUAGCUAAUACCGCAUACCAUCGGAUGUGCCCAGAGGGGAUUAGCUAGUAGGUGGGGUAAAGGCUCACCUAGGCGACGAUCCCUAGCUGGUCUGAGAGGGUGACCGGCCACACUGGAACUGAGACACGGUCCAGACUCCUACGGGAGGCAGCAGUGGGGAAUAUUGCGCAAUGGGCGCAAGCCUGAUGGAGCCAUGCCGCGUGUGUGAAGAAGGCUUUCGGGUUGUAAAGUACUUUCGGCGGGGAGGCGUUACCCGAAGAAGAAGCACCGGCUAACUCCGUGCCAGCAGCCGCGGUAAUAC